rnacentral:rRNA from 1 species
CAAUAGCGUAUAUUAAAGUUGUUGCAGUUAAAAAGCUCGUAGUUGGACCUUGGACCUGGACAGGCGGUCCGCCUCACGGCGUGUACUGUCUUGCUGGGUCUUUCCUCUUGGUGAUCUGUUGUUUCGGCAGCAGGGAACCAGGACUUUUACUUUGAAAAAAUUAGAGUGUUCAAAGCAGGCUCGACGCCGGAAUAUAUUGGCAUGGAAUAAUAAAAUAGGACGUGCGGUUCUAUUUUGUUGGUUUUUGGAAUCGCCGUAAUGAUUAAUAGGGACAGUCGGGGGCAUUAGUACUCACAUGCUAGAGGUGAAAUUCUUGGAUUUUGUGAAGACUAACUUCUGCGAAAGCAUUUGCCAAGGAUGUUUUCAUUAA